GCACCAUUCAGUCGCGUACCAACCAUCGCGCAUUGUACAUUGUACGUCGCGACGCGCUCGCAGUCGGACGAUAUAGACACACUUCUGCUCCUUUCCAGCGACUGGCAGAGAGCAGAGAAAGAGCAGAGAGAGGAGAAACGAAGGGGCACACGGAGUUUUCGGUUGGCGCUUUUCCCCCCUACCAUUUUUAAACCGAUUCUAAUCUGUCCGUUGCCCGAGGCUAGGGGUCAGUUCGCUAAACCUUAAACCAGACGAACGCGAGACACAGAGGAUCGAAGACUGUAAGAUGGUGACCAAGUGCGACAGUUUCGGUCUUAGUUGACGAGGGUUCGUUUCGAGAAAGGUUAAAUAGAUCAACGUGUCGGAAGAGGAAGAAGAAGAAGGGGAGGAGCAGCUAAAGGCUAAGCGCAUUGUGGUUGUUGCAUCGAGGUCGUAUAGGAAGCAAUCAUGGAUCCUUAUUCGUUGAGGUAGUGAUAACCAAGUUGCUGAAAUUAUCAUACUCAAAUAGUAAUAAUUGAGUAAUGAUAUUCCAAUGGUAUCAUUGAAAUAGUGAUAUUCAAAAUAAUAAUGUUUGGAUAAUGAUAUUCCAAUGGUAUCAUUGAAAUAGUGAUAUUCAAAUAAAAAUGUUUCGAUAAUGAUAGUCCAAUAGCAAUAUACAAAUACUGAUGUUUAAAUAAUAAUUUCUCAAUAAUGAUAUUCCAAUGGUAUCAUUCAAAUAGUGAUAUUUAAAUAAUAAUGUCUCAAUAAUGAUAUUCCAAUGGUAUCAUUCAAAUAGUGAUAUUCAAAAUAAUAAUGUUUGGAUAAUGAUAUUCCAAUGGUAUCAUUGAAAUAGUGAUAUUCAAAUAAAAAUGUUUCGAUAAUGAUAGUCCAAUAGCAAAUACAAAUACUGAUGUUUAAAUAAUAAUUUCUCGUGUCUCAUUUUGGAUGUAAUCCAAAAAUUACCGAUGUCCUUCAAAAAACCUUGAAAAUUACAAAAUUCAGAAAUUUUUUUUAUAUUCUCAUAUUUACCCCCUUAAACAGUACAACUUUUUCCUCUAACAUUUUCUUCUAUUUUUAAGUCGAACUGAGAUAAUUAGGUAUUCUCUUUCUCGUGAAUCACCCGGUAUAUUAUUAAUUCGUCCCAUUUUGACGUCGAAGAAAGGAUACCAAAAUUCGUGCCUUAUACUAUACUAUUAUAUUAUACUCGACAGAAUAGACAGAUCCUAGACUCGUUUUUGAGACCCUUCUCAGGUAAAGCACAACUACAAAAAAGGUUUUCGAUGGGUGGCUCCCAGAGAUUUUUUUUCUUUUCUUUUGUCCAGACGUUACUGUCUGCUGGUGAAUAAUUCUUGAGAAUAUCGGAGAAUCCCAUUGGUGUACAUACAGUUUUCGUCCUCCGUCUGUUGCCUUCGACUGCAUUAUGACCUUUCCAGAGCCAGAGGCCAUUGUAUUUCAUGCGUCGGUCACAAUAGAGCAGAGACAAGUGGCGAUAGAAUUCGGCAAUAAAAAUGGUCUCUUUGUAGUCGAUCGGUCCUUCCUUUGCCGCUCGUGUACAAGGAUGUUUUAACACAGAUUCUUAUGAAAUAUACAGACUUUCAUACGAAUUUUUUCAGUUUAAAUCAAAAUGCAAUUUAGAAAGUUGCUGAAAUUUUGAUAUGUUAUAAAAAUCCUAAUUGUAAACCAUGAAAAAAAAAAAACAAUCAUUGACGAUCCCAGUUUUAUGAAAAGCCACAUAAAAAUCUUGUAUUUUUAACGCAGAUUCUUAUGUUCAGUUUUCAUAUUUACAUAUACAUACAAUCAGUCUAUGUUCUAUGUUCAUUUAUUUAUUAAGAGUGACUAUAACAUCUAUUACAUUUUAUACAGUCAUUUUCAAAAGUAUUCGUACCUCCUAUAUCUAUUGAAGAAGUUUCGCCUAAAUUAAAUGAUAAAUUUGACGUUUCCAAAUAAAUGUUUCAUUAUAUGUAGAUGCCAUAGA